AUUUUAACAUUUGUCGUGGCCGCACGGAAUGGCACGGAAUUGUGAACGCAAUUAAGUUUUAAAAUAUAUCCGAAAUAUGCACAAUAAUUUAAAUUAUUGUGCAUUGCACUAUUUAACCGCUUGACCCUGUUAACCCUAAAAUAGUGUCUACAAUUUGCGCUUAACUAGAAACAAACCAGUAGAAGCAGAAGCCGCAGCAGCAGCGGAAGUAGCAGCCCCAGCGACGCGCAAAUGGAUAAAAUGUUUGUUUUUAAUGUUAAGCGAAAGCUAAGAAUCAAAAAAGUGUGAUAAAUGCUAACAGGCAACAACAGAAAACCGAAAAAUUGUUUUGCAAGCGUGUAAGAAAAACGGCCGAGAGAACGCGCCAGCCUGCAUGCGUGUGUGUGUGUGCCUGUCUGUCUGCAAGUGUGUGUGUGUUAUGUGUAUGUGUGAGCGGGAGCUUGAGUGUGUGAGUGUGCAGUGAAGUGCAAAAGAAACACGAUAAAAAAAAAUACAAAAAAUAAAGGAGAAGAAAAAAAUAACACGCCAGCCAUGCAGUUGCGCCCGUUUUAGCUGAUAAAGCGUACAAAAUACAAAAAGCACACACAAAGCAGUAGGCACGAAACGAGUGAAAAUAGAAAAUUAAUAAUUAGCAAGAAGAAGCAGCAGCACACACACAGCAACGCAAAGCAAAUUGUAAGUGAUCAGUGCUAAAACAAACAACACAAACAACAAAUUGAAUGAGCAACUUUUUUCUAUAAAUAGUGCAAAUCAAAAUUCUCGGUGCAGCGGCCAGUUUCGAUUGAUCGCAAAUACAAUUACAGUUGCAAUAACAACAAUAAUAAUAACAAAUUGCAGAUAACAAACAAAAAUAAAUAAAAGUGAAAACAACUGCAACGCUGUUGCAGAUAAAUUGAAAAAGAAGUAAGAUAAAAUUAAAAAAAAGAGUUAGUACUGCAAAACGGCAAAAUGUCAACGCUGGACGUGCCCAACAAUUCGGCAAUGAUGAAGCGGGCCGAGCAGCUGAAGCGCUGGGAGGAGUCGGACACAAAUCGCGCCGCUCCGACACCCCGCCGUACGCAUAACGGCCGUCACAUCAAGUUCAGCUCCGGCUGCGUUUUUCUCGCUGCCUGCCUCUCUGGGGAUAAGGAUGAUGUGCUGCAGCUGAUCGAUGAUGGCGCCGAUAUCAACACUGCUAAUGUGGAUGGCCUUACAGCGUUGCAUCAGGCUUGCAUCGAUGACAAGCUCGAAAUGGUUGAGUUCUUAGUGACACAUGGAGCCGAUAUUAAUCGUCAGGACAACGAGGGAUGGACACCGCUACAUGCAACAGCCUCCUGCGGCUUUGUGAGCAUAGCACAGUAUCUGGUGGAGAACCAUGCCGAUGUGGCUGCUGUGAAUAGUGAUGGAGAUUUGGCGCUGGAUUUGGCAAUUGAUGUGCAACAUAUGCCCAUGAUUGACUACAUGGAAAAGGUGGUGCAGGAGCUAAAUAUUGAUGUGGAUCAGGCGCGCAAGGCGGAGGAGAAGGCCAUGCUCAAUGAUGCAAAUAAAUGGCUGCUUAGCGAUGCCACUGAAGUGGAUCGACCGAAUCCAAAAACUGGUGCAACGGCGCUACAUGUGGCAGCUGCCAAGGGCUAUACGAAUGUGCUGAGUCUGUUGCUCGCCGGACGUGCCAAUGUCGAUAGACAGGAUAAUGAUGGCUGGACGCCGUUGCAUGCCGCUGCACACUGGGGCCAAAAGGAGACAGCUGAAAUGCUGGUGGAGUCAUGGGCCAACAUGGAUAUACGCAAUUAUGCUGGCCAAUCCUGCAUCGAUGUCGCCGAUCGCAAAAUGGUCAAAUUCCUGGAAGAAUUGCGUGCCAACAAACGCAACAAGCGGCGUCCCUCUAGUCAAAUCAGCAGAAUCUCAGAUGCGAUUGAAAAUCAUGUGGACAAAACACCAACGAAACUUGUACGCGUUGAAGUGAGAACUGAUGCCGCUAAGGAUGCUGAAAAUGUUAAGCCCAAUCAACAAAUUCAUGCCGCCGAACACUCUGUGGAGGAUGAGGCGCCCUGGCGACGCAAAACGCUCCGCACGCCCAACGACAGUCCCACUAAGAAUCAAGUUCCUGACAAAGAGCUGAGCGGCAAAAGCGGCAAUGAAAGCGCCAACGAUGUCAUCUUGCGACGCACGCACAGCUUUGAGAAUGAUCAAAAAUUCUAUCAAAAGUACAAUGAGCUGCGGGCACGCAUUAAGGCGAAUUCAUGUCCCAUACUGCUAGCGACGACGGCGAAUGCUCUGCCCGGCAAUGCCAAUAACAACAAUAACCAAAGUAGCAAUAACAACAAUAAUAAUAACAAUAAUAACAUCAACAACAAUAAGAGUCUGCUGCUGUUGGGACAAACUGCAAACACAACUGGCAUCAGCAGCAGCAACAACUAUAACAACACAUCAACAUCAAGCACAACAAACACCACAACAACAUUCAACACACACACCAACAACACAACAACAGCAGCAGCAGCAACAACAACUGCAACAGCAGCAACUACAACAUCAAUAACAUCUACAGCAAAUCCAAGUCUAACUUAUAGCGUACAAAGAUCGGCCUCCCUCAAAGAUAACUCUGUGUAUUUCAGAAAACCGAUUGCUCCAGUUGCGAUGCUUAAUGCAGCGACAACAACAACACCAACAACAACAGUGCUCAGCUCACCCUCAACAACUGUGCAUACCCCACCAAUACGCAGCAAUCCGGCUGCCCAAAGCAGCAGCAACAGCAACAACAAUGGCAGCACAACGGCAAGUGCCGUUGCCAGCGAAGUGGAGACUCCAAAACCUAAACAAUCGGCGGGCAAUAUAUUCAAAAACUUUUUCAAAUCCUUUGUGCCUCCAGUGCGCGACGAGGAAAGCGAAACGCAGCGUAAAGCGCAUGCGAAGCGAGUGCGAGAGACGCGUCGUUCCACACAGGGUGUCACCCUCGAUGAGAUCAAGAGUGCCGAGGAGCUGGUCAAGAAGAAGAAUCUGGGCAUGAAUAAGAACAACAAUAACAAUAACAACAACAGCAGCAGCUUCAAGCUGGAGGAUAUUACCAGCGGUGGCACAUACCCGCCCAAUCAGAGCACCAUCAUACCAAGUGCGCCGGCUGUCAUGGCAGCUGUUAACUUGGCCAACACAGCCGGAGCACAACGUCGCAUCAGCAGUGGCCCCAAUGCGCUAAAUGCUUCCAAUCAAUCGCUCAACUCUGUCGGACGUCCUGUCUCUGCGCCUAGUGAGACGAUUAAUAAUAGCGCCUAUAUGACGCCUCCAGCCCGCAGAUAUGAGACGACAUCUGCUGCCACAACAACUGCCACGACAACAGCUAACAACUCCGCGUCUGCAGCAGCCAGUGCCAACCAUGCAACGGCUUCCAGUGCUACAACCAGCCAUGUUGAUAAGGAUAACGACAAGGAGAACGAUAAUCGCACACAGACUGUCAUACAGCGGCGUCGCAAGCCCAAGCGCAGAUCCACGGGUGUGGUGCAUCUCGAUAUGGAUGAGCUUGAUCCGGAGCGUCAACACGAAUCGGCCAACAAUGACAACGAUGAGAAGGAAAAGGAGAGCGGCAGUGAACGCACGUCGCGCUCUCGCACCGCAAGCACAGCAACAACAAGCGCCGCCAGCGAUUCGAAGAGCACGAGCAGCAGCGACAAGGCGGAAAAUGGAGACGGCAUUGACUAUAAGGCGCUCUGGGAAGCGGCCAAAAUGGAGAACGACAAACUCAAGCAAAUGCUCAAGCAGAAGGACGACGAAGUUGUACAGACGCGUGCGACGCUCGAACGCUUUGCCAAUGCCACAACUAAAAAUUCACUCUCUGAGAUUGAGAAGCGUGAAAGAAGAGCUAUGGAACGCAAGCUUUCCGAAUUGGAAGAAGAGCUCAAGCUCUUGCAGAAGCUAAAGACUGAGAACGACCGUCUGCGUGCGGAGAAUCGUGCACUCACGCGAGUUGUCUCUAAGUUGACCACCUCGGCACAGAGUCAACUGGCCAAAAGCAAAUAGGCUUCUUCUAUCGAGAGUUGAAUCAUUUUGUUAGCAUCACACGGCGACAAUAUCGCUCGAAUAUCGUAAUCGUACUCGUACUCGUUAUCGUAAUCGCAAUCGUUAUCGUUUCUAUAUACUUCUAUACCAUAUACUCGUACAGCAUACAUACAAUACAAUACAAACGUACAUUACAUACUCGUACAUAGUUAAUUACAAUAUCGUAAAUAUUAUAUCGUAAACUGGGACAACAAUUGAUACUAUAUACAACUUAUUAGACUUUAAUAAUAAUAUACGUGUACUUAUUACUACAUAAAUACUAUACUAUAUAAACAAUAUAAACAUUUGCAUUGUUAUUGAGCGCAACGUAUAACAACAAUUAAAUGUAUUUUCUAGCUUAAUUAAGGUCACGAUUUUUGGUGCACAUUUUCAUAAAUACUCAAAAUUUGGCAGGCAAUUUCUAUUUUUGCACCACUGUACUAUUAGCUUAAAAGAAAUUUACAAAAAGAUUUAUAGUUAAAAUUUUGGGAAUUAAUAUUGUAUUAGAAAAAUUAAUGAAAAAAUAAUUACAUGCUCAGUUUAUAUCAGCAAAAUAUCGGUACAAGAAUAUAACACAACAUAUGGCAAACAAUAUACCCACAAAUAUCGCAAAUACUCGUAUAAUCGAAUAAUCAAAAAGUACAUCAAAAGUAAAAAAUUAGAAAAAGAAAAACAAAAAGAAAAGAAAACUCUACAAAACUCACGAAAGGAACUCGAUCAACUCAACUCAACAGCAGCAACGAUUGUGGCACCAGCAUUAGCACCACCAAGCACCACCAGCACAUUUCUUCAGUUCUUAUAUGCAGUGAGCUUAACGCAACUUGAUGUCUACAAGUCGGAUAAUCAUCGCCUGAAGGAGGAGAACGCUGCGUUGAUUAGAGUAAUUAGUAAAUUAAGUAAAUGAAAUUAUGUUUUAACUUAAAUUUACUCGCGCCUUUAUCAACAAUACCAACAAAAUAAAAGCAACAAUUUCAUUGAAGCGAUCCGUCGACGCUGGCAAAAGGAAAUUAAAUUAACUAAAUUAUAUGUAGAACGGAAAAGGAGGCAGAAAGAUGAAAAGAAGGGAAAGAUUUGUUUAUACAAUAAUAUUACUAUUAUUAUUAUGAUUAUUAUUAUUAUUAUUUUUGUGUGUUUAGGCAUUUAAGCGCUAGAUGAAACCAUGUUUCGAAAAUCGUUGAAAAUUGUUUGUUUUUUUCUUUAAUUUUUCUCUUUCUCUUCGUCUCUCUUCCAUAAUAAAUAUUAUAUUGAAAGAAUGAAAAUUCAUUUUAUGUAUUUGGUCAAAUUAUAAACGAAUAGAAAAAAUUAUAAACAAGAAAACCUAAUUAUAAUUAUGAAUGUUGUAUAACGGAUAAUUUCAAAUAAAAAAAGGAAAACAAACAAAACCUUUAAAUACAAACGAAAAAAAAACUGAGAACAUAUUCAUCAAAUGAGCCCUAGUUACAGAUUAGUUUAACUAUAUAAAAUACAUAUUUAAACAUAUAUAUUUUUCAUAUAUACAUUCACUCACACACACAAACAUAAAUUAUAUACAUAUACACACACACAUACAUACAUAUUUGAAGGAAAACAAGAAAGUUUGUGAGAAAUGUUUUGAAACCAGCCCACGCAACAACAACUUACUAAUUGUAACGCUGUAAUUUGUUUUUUAAAAAACUUAAAACUCAUUUAGUUAUAAACAAUAAACAUGUAAUCAAUCAGUGUUAAAACUUUAGUUAUAUGCAUAUGCAAUAUUUAAGCAUUGAUAAACCAGCUAUGCAACUGGAAUCUGAGAUACAGUAUCUUAUAUUAAAACUGGCGCUCUAUAAAUGCAUACAAAUGUUAUAUGCCACAUAAUGUUGCAUAUGUGUAUGAAACGAUUUAAUUGAUUAUUAUGUUAACUUUAGUUGUUCACUUUGAAACGUAUUAUAUAUACCGUACUAUACUUAUUUGACUUUCGCUUAUACAUAUAUAAUUGUAAUGAAACACAUGAUCAUACGCAUAUUUCUGUUAUUUAUUAAAUUCGUUUAAGAGAUUUUGUGUUACUCGUGAAAGAAAUACGAUAAACAACAAACUGAAAAACAAAAAUACAUAUGAAAAAAAGAAAACAAAAAAAAGCAAGUGAAAUGUGUAAUAUGUAAAAUUGUGAGAAAAUAUUUAAGAAAAUUUGAUUCAAAUACGAAACUUAAUAAAUGUGAUCGCAAAGUAAAA